rfam:TPA: Aspergillus nidulans FGSC A4 chromosome IV
UCCUCGAUGGUCUAACGGUCAUGAUUUCCGCUUGUCACCUGAUCAGGAACAAGCGCGGGAGACCUGGGUUCGACUCCCAGUCGGGGAG